rnacentral:misc_RNA from 1 species
GAUGAAGAACGUAGCGAAAUGCGAUAAGUAAUGUGAAUUGCAGAAUUCAGUGAAUCAUCGAAUCUUUGAACGCACCUUGCGCUCUCUGGUAUUCCGGAGAGCAUGCCUGUUUGAGUAUCAUGAAAUCUCAACCAUUAGGGUUUCUUAAUGGCUUGGAUUUGGGCGUUGCCAGUUGCCUGGCUCGCCUUAAAAGAGUUAGCGUGUUUAACUUGUCAUAUCUGGCGUAAUAAGUCUCGCUGGUGUACGACUUGAGAAGUGCGCUUCUAAUCGUCCUCGGACAAUUCUUGAACUCUGGUCUCAAAUCAGGUAGGACUACCCGCUGAACUUAAGCAUAUCAAUAAGCGGAGGA